CAAGAUCAUACAGAGGAUACAAUAUAUAAAAUUAAGCUGCUCAAAUGACGAGGAUUAGAUAUUAUGAAAUCAGAUUUUAAUGAUUUCAAUUUUCAAUAAUCAAGAAACGAGUAUUCAAAAUAAUAAAAUAUAACGACGAAUAGAGAGGUUGGGUGAUUACAAGAUCUGAUACGAAGGUAAAAUGAGGGAAGGAGAAAAACCUUCUCGAAAACGGUGAAGACGACGGCAAGAUUCCGUUGAUAACGAACCAAAAGAAAAUAAUGGCCGAUGGGAAAUGCGGUGGAGGCGGCUACGGAUGACGGCGACGACGAUAGGGAACGGAUGGCGUCGCGCGUGCACAAGGGGAGCGGCGGAGGUCGUACGGGCGUAGAGAUGAAAGGGGGAUCGAGCGAAAGAGAGAGAGGUGGAUCGGGUGGGGGGCUCGUAUCAAAAGAAGGGC
rnacentral:lncRNA from 1 species